CAGUCGCCACGGUAAUACGAAGGGUGCAAGCGUUAAUCGGAAUUACUGGGCGUAAAGCGUGCGUAGGCGGUGAGUUAAGUCUGCUGUGAAAUCCCCGGGCUCAACCUGGGAAUGGCAAUGGAUACUGGCAAGCUAGAGUGUGUCAGAGGAUGGUGGAAUUCCCGGUGUAGCGGUGAAAUGCGUAGAGAUCGGGAGGAACAUCAGUGGCGAAGGCGGCCAUCUGGGACAACACUGACGCUGAGGCACGAAAGCGUGGGGAGCAAACAGGAUUAGAUACCCCCGUAGUCCCUGUCUCUUAUAC
rnacentral:rRNA from 1 species